GCACAAGCGGUGGAUGAUGUGGAUUAAUUCGAUGCAACGCGAAAACCUUUACUACCCUUGACAUGUCCGGAAUCCUGCAGAGAUGCGGGAGUGCCCGAAAGGGAAUCGGAACACAGGUGCUGCAUGGCUGUCGUCAGCUCGUGUCGUGAGAUGUUGGGUUAAGUCCCGCAACGAGCGCAACCCUUAUCAUUAGUUGCUACGCAAGGGCACUCUAAUGAGACUGCCGGUGACAAACCGGAGGAAGUGGGGAUGACGUCAAGUCCUCAUGGCCCUUAUGGGUAGGGCUUCACACGUCAUACAAUGGUCGGUACAGAGGGUUGCCAAGCCGCGAGGUGGAGCCAAUCCCAGAAAGCCGAUCGUAGUCCGGAUUGUUCUCUGCAACUCGAGAGCAUGAAGUCGGAAUCGCUAGUAAUCGCGGAUCAGCAUGUCGCGGUGAAUACGUUCCCGGGUCUU
rnacentral:rRNA from 1 species